rnacentral:rRNA from 1 species
UACGUAGGGUGCAAGCGUUAUUCGGAAUUACUGGGCGUAAAGCGUGCGUAGGCGGUUUUGUAAGUCAGUUGUGAAAUCCCCGGGCUCAACCUGGGAACUGCAUCUGUGACUGCAUAGCUAGAGUACGGUAGAGGGGGAUGGAAUUCCGCGUGUAGCAGUGAAAUGCGUAGAUAUGCGGAGGAACACCGAUGGCGAAGGCAAUCCCCUGGACCUGUACUGACGCUCAUGCACGAAAGCGUGGGGAGCAAACAGG